CCACGGUCAUGUCGUGCCGCACCGCAUCGCGUCUAUGUUACAGCACUACACGGUGUGGCGGCCCACAGGCCCCUCGGGCCCCCCACUCAGGACGGCUCUUACCCAGCCCCGCGCGCCGCAUGGCUGUGCCCGGAGCUGCCGAGGGAGGGCCGAGAGGAGGAGGGUGAGGAGCGGGACGGCCGCGCCAGAGGAAGCGGGAGCGGAGCUCAGCCCGACCGCCACUCCGGCACCCUCCUCACUCACCGGCAGCGCCACGACAGCGCUAUGCCGCACGGCCCGCUGGGAGCCGCGGCGCGCGGGGGCCGAUGGGAAGUGUAGUCCCGCGCCGCGGGGGGGUGGCGCCGCGCUGCUGAGGGGAGGGCCGUCCCGCGUCAGGCGGUCGGCGGGCGCUGCUACAGUGACUGGCUGUACUGACAAAAGCUUAUCCUCAGGGAGCCCUCUGGGAGAUGGCAGUUUGGACACUUCAGCAGUGACGCAGCAGCUGAGGGAAGGAGAAGCAACGGGUUAAGCAGCAUCAGCAGAAAGUGGCUGUAAUUGAAGAGGAUAUUUGAAGAAAGAAAAUGCAGUCUUUUCCACUUUCAUGACCCA
rnacentral:lncRNA from 1 species